CCUCAGCCUGACUUCUCUGAGCAAUGUCCGAAUACUGGGCCUUGACCUCAGCAAUGAUGCUGUCCAGAUCCAGGCUGCGGUUGUUGUCCAUGGAGAGGACCACAGAUGUGUCUGAGAUGUGAGUUUGCAUCUGAGGCA
rnacentral:miRNA from 14 species